rnacentral:rRNA from 4 species
CAACUUUCGACAACGGAUCUCUUGGCUCUCGCAUCGAUGAAGAACGCAGCGAAAUGCGAUAAGUAAUGUGAAUUGCAGAAUUCAGUGAAUCAUCGAAUCUUUGAACGCACCUUGCGCCCUUUGGUAUUCCGAGGGGCAUGCCUGUUUGAGUGUCAUUA